UACAGAGGGUGCAAGCGUUGUUCGGAAUUACUGGGCGUAAAGCGUGCGCAGGCGGCUUCGCAAGUCAGACGUGAAAGCCCCGGGCUUAACCUGGGAAUGGCGUUUGAAACUACGGAGCUGGAGUAUGGCAGAGGGGGGUGGAAUUCCACGUGUAGCGGUGAAAUGCGUAGAUAUGUGGAGGAACACCGAUGGCGAAGGCAGCCCCCUGGGCCAAUACUGACGCUCAUGCACGAAAGCGUGGGGAGCAAACAGG
rnacentral:rRNA from 1 species